UACGUAGGGGGCAAGCGUUGUCCGGAUUUAUUGGGCGUAAAGAGCGUGUAGGCGGCCAGAUAGGUCUGUUGUGAAAACUCGAGGCUCAACCUCGAGACGCCGAUGGAAACCAUUUGGCUAGAGUCCGGAAGAGGAGAGUGGAAUUCCUGGUGUAGCGGUGAAAUGCGCAGAUAUCAGGAAGAACACCCGUGGCUAAGGCGGCUCUCUAGUACGGUACUGACGCUGAGACGCGAAAGUGUGGGGAGCGAACAGG
rnacentral:rRNA from 1 species